GAUCCUGGCUCAGGAUGAACGCUAGCUACAGGCUUAACACAUGCAAGUCGAGGGGAAACGAUAUUGGAAGCUUGCUUCCGAUAGGCGUCGACCGGCGCACGGGUGAGUAACGCGUAUCCAACCUGCCCACCACUUGGGGAUAACCUUGCGAAAGUAAGACUAAUACCCAAUGACAUCCCACGAAGACAUCUGAAUUGGAUUAAAGAUUUAUCGGUGAUGGAUGGGGAUGCGUCUGAUUAG
rnacentral:rRNA from 1 species